rnacentral:rRNA from 1 species
UACGUAGGGUCCAAGCGUUAAUCGGAAUUACUGGGCGUAAAGCGUGCGCAGGCGGUUUUGUAAGCCAGAUGUGAAAUCCCCGGGCUCAACCUGGGAACUGCAUUUGGGACUGCAAAGCUGGAGUACGGCAGAGGGAGGUGGAAUUCCACGUGUAGCAGUGAAAUGCGUAGAGAUGUGGAGGAACACCGAUGGCGAAGGCAGCCUCCUGGGCUAGUACUGACGCUCAUGCACGAAAGCGUGGGGAGCAAACAGG